GACCUCAAAUCAGGUAGGACUCCCGUUGAACUUAAGCCUAUCAAUAAGCGG
rnacentral:rRNA from 1 species